CAACAUGGAGACAAUGUUGUCCUGCAUUCUUCAGUUCCAGAAGCUGGCAGAAGAAAGGCCCUAUGAGCGGUGAGCCCGCUCUUUAGCGCGCACUGGGGUGAGGGAAUCCCACUAGCAAGGGAAUAAAAUAAUUCCAGUCACUGCGCACUAACGUUUGAGUUGCUAAAACCUCCAGCCUUCCAUUCUAAUUGUACAGUCCUUAAUAAUCUUAUUUCUCCUAUUUAAAAAAAAAAAUGUUCUUUGCUCUACCUUGUCUUUAAACUCAGUCCAUUUCCUGGGACAGGUCUACAUCAUUAAACCGCAGAUGGUUCUGUUUCUAUUAAGCAGCAGGUAUCAUUCUUGUCCUGACAGGAGGAGGCUCCACCUGCUGCCGGCCCACCAAUACUUCCAGCUGACUGCUUUGCAGAACAGCAAAGCAUCCCAGCUAGCUUCUGUACGGGCCCACCUGAAGCACUCCUGAGAGAUUUCAUUCGAGCUACUCCAGCCUGUCCCGUGUGAAUAAGCACAGGUCCCCCACUCAGCUGGUCUCUACUCCAAGGAUCGCGUUUCAAAAUCUGUCGACAGGAAUCAAGAUCCUUCCUGUAGGCACACUCACUAUUCGUCCUUCUUUCACCCAUGUUGACUUGAAAAUAUCACUCACACGAUGAAGGCCUGCGUAAACAGGAUGUCCUCCUGGAUUUAUUUUUCAGAACUACACCAGGAAUUACACUCGGAAUUAUGUCAGUCCUGCGGCAAUUUUCAAGAAGCCGCAAGUCCGUGAUCCUGAAACUUUGACUGCUGACAAGAACUUGCUCGGAGCAGCAGUGUUAUUAACAAGCCACCUUUCCGGCACCCCAUCUGCACUGGAAGCCAUCCCCAACUCAUCACCUCCAUCUGUCUCUCCGUACGACGGGGCGUGCACACCAGCAGGCUCCGGCCACGAGGUUCAGUUUGCUGCUGAGUUACUCAUCAAACAUCCCGUGCUGUGUGGACUCCUUACUCUCAGUACUGUGGGCUGCAGGCUACCAGUCUGUGAGCCUGACAGAAAUGUACUUACCUCCUUUUAUAAUGAAGGCGCUUUAGGCAGUCAUUGUGAGGCCUUGAGAAUGAAGAUAUUUAAGCAUGUGCCCAAAGAAAUACAUUCGGUACCGUGGGUGGCUCUCUGGGAUUUAUUACACCCCUCAGGGGAGGUGGGAUCCCUCGAUUUGAUGUCAUCCGGGCUUUGUUCUCUGCACAGUGUCCUCUGAAGGCUACCAGCUCUGGAUUCUUGUUCCAGCUUUUAAAAGGCCUCUGAGGACUCAUAAAUUCAAUGCUUCUGUAUUAAAGCACAGGAUAUGCAUGUGCCUACUGUUCUGUUCAGGUCCGGUCUUUUCCUGGCAAGACUCUACUUUCACUCUUGCUGCUGGUUACCGAAUGGUAUGCAAAUGACUUACCACCCACUAGGGUUUUGUUGUUGUUGUUGUUAUUAUUUGUUUAUUUAUUUAUCUUUUUUUUUUAAUUAAACUGGCCCCGUAACUCCUACUUUGAUUCAGAAUGGUGGGUUAUCCACGUUACUCCUGAGAAAUUUGAUCUUCAUUUUUUUAAAAUCUUAGCUUCCUUUCUGGGUAGAAAUGGGGAAAUAGCGGGGGGCGUUUCUCACAUUGUUAGCUUUCUCGGAUUCCGUGCGCGGUUGUGAUGUAGGGAAAUCCCAAUGACUGGCCACAGAACAGAAUCGUACACAGAUCCUAGAAGUCAUAUUUCCUUUGGGCUCGGUGCAUGAUGGAGCACAUGGGCUGUAGAAAGCGAAGCCUUAUGAUGUAAUUGGCAAGGGCAAGGCAUGGAUACUGUGGUAAAACUGUAUUUCCACAUCCAGCUUUGUCCCUUGCCAGCUAUUUAGCCUUGAGUAAGUUAAAUGACCUAAGCCUCAGUUCGGUCAUCUGUAAAAAGAAGGAAAUAGUGUCCAACUUUUAGGUAACUUUGGGAUGUGGUGUAAUGAAACCAGAUAGUACAUAUACAGGACUAGCACAGAACGUGGCAAAUAGUAAAUACUUAACUGUUAGGUUAUACCACUGUUAUGACUGAGGACAGAAUGUUCUUCUAAAAGCAAAGGAGAAAAUUAAACCGAAUGAUUCUUUUCCAUUUUCCUGUAACCAAACUUUCUGCUUUAUCAUAGCCUACGAUUUUUAACUCACGGGUGGAGAAACUGAAAGAGAAAAUUAAAAGUGCUAUUUGGUGAUUAUAUUCUGGAGUUCUGCAAUAGGACUCAACCAUGAAUUCAAGACUUUGGGUCCUCCAGAUGUGUCUCUAUCCAUAAAACUGUAUUUCCUUUGACUCGUAGAGAACUGUGUACCCAGAGGGCACUCAAUAAAAAUAAUGACAAAAAUCA
rnacentral:lncRNA from 1 species